CACACCUGACACCUGGUCGCUGCGUGACAGAGCCCUGUGUGCUCUUGGAGGUCUGCAGCCUGUUCCUCCAGGGAGACAAGGAAGUUGACAGCCUCGAAUGCCCCAGCUCUGCUGGAGAUGCAGAUCAGGGCGGAACGCAGGAAGAUGGUUUGGCCUGUGACAUCCCUUACUCUGGACUCUCUGGAUCCUGGGAUGGAAAGCAGGCAUCCUUCAAGGUCAUCAUCUCUCCCUUUCUGGCUUUGCUUCAGGGAAGAUGGUGCUGUCAGAGGAAGGAAUAAGGCAGCUGGGGAGGCUGGAGAGCAGGGACAAGCUGUGUCUCCGUGGGACAUGCGUGUACAACAGGACUUUGUUCAGGCACUGAGGAAGCCGAAUGUUCCAUGAUCAUCAGCCUCGAGGUUCUCGGGAAGGUGGUUCAGGGGUGCUGACUGUGGUCUGGAGACUGCAGCCCCCAGCCCGGGGAGCUCCGCUGGCUGUCCAUCAAGUCCAGCCUUGACCCGAGCCUGGAAGAGGUUUCGUGCUGCUUGUCGUGUGACCCGGGGACAGUCACUUCCUGUCUCUCGCCAUCACUGCCUCCUGUGAAAAAAUGAAGGCGUUGGAACGGGCAGCCUCUAAGGCAUCUUCCAGACAGAAAGCUCUCCUCUGCUUAUAGGUACUACACACUUUCACAAAACCCAACAGCAAAAUUAACAGGUAAAAUCCAUCCUCCUCCAACACGUUUCGGCUUACAAAGCUGGCCAAUAGAGGCAAAACUGCCUGUGUCAUAAAAAAAAAUUAGAAAUAGCUGCUUCGUUUCAGCACUAUUUGAUUUAUGCGUGGCAUUUCCAAUCCUCUCAUUCCUGUAAUUGACACAGCUUUGUCUCGUCGGACCUUCCCGUGCGGGUUCUCUCUCCCUAGCAGCUGACCCUGGCACAUCCAUCACCCAAACGCCCAAGCAACAGCCCCGGAAUGUUCAGCUGAAUUCUCUAAUGGCUCUGAUCAAACCAGGCCUAAUGUGCACUCUGGUGAGCAGUCACUCACACAGCGUGUGUUGCUUUCUCAUUAUCAUUUUAUUUCUACCAUUAGGCACAUUUGAAAUAUAAAUCACAGCUAACGUCUUUCAAAGGGAGGUGAGCUCUUCGUCUCGACUGUGGGGGCGGGCCCGGAGCACACGGUGUGACCUUGGGGGAGUGAGCUCCUCUGAGGCUCACUGUCCCCACAAGGAAAGGCAGGCUGGGAGGGGGCAUGUGUGUCCCCUCCCAGUCCAGUCACCAGUGGGGUGGCGUCAGGAGUGGGGUGUUGGUAAGGCAGCUGCACGUCUCAGCCCCUUGCUGCCACCAUCACCUGUUUGAAAGAGGAGUCUAACGUGGAACUCAAUAUACAAAACAAAUCCGAAUGAUACUGAGUUGGCAUAGCUUUAUUUCAUGUGUUCUUUUUUGGGGGGCAGGCAGAGUUAUACAGUGAGAGAGACAGAGAGAGAAAGGUCUUCUUUCCGUUGGUUCACCCCCCAAAUGGCCACCACAAACGGCACGCUGCACUGAUCCAAAGCCAGGAGCCAGGUGCUUCUCCUGGUCUCCCAUGCGGGUGCGCCCCAACUGGACUAGAACCCAGUGUGCCGGCACCGCAGGCGGAGGAUUAGCCUAGUGAGCCAGGGUGCCGGCCUUUUUUUUUAUCUUUUUUUUUUUUCAUGCGUUCUAAUCUGUAACAUUUAUUACAAAGUUGUUGUGACCAAAACGGGGAAAUGGUGGAGUGGGGGUGGCCGCUGCUGUCUCAGCGGCUUCCACACCCAUCAGCUUCUUCUUUGGUGCAGCCGUGUCCUUUCCAGGCUGCCAGUGGAAGCUUUUCUGAAGGUGGCACUGCAGGCCCAGGGCACUCCCCAAGGGUGCAGACAGCGCCAACUUUUUGUUCUAAGAUCAGUCUUGAAACGAAUGCCAGCUUCCCGUGUUACUGGUUUCUGACGUGUUAAGGUAGUAGAAUUGAGUGUGGGUAUUAUUCCUUGUUUCAGGCUACGAAAAUAUUGCUAACUGUUUGAUUAAAAUACAGGUUUCACUGCAGUGCUUGUAGGAUUUUCCAGUCACUUGUGAAGACUGUCUUCAGGCAGUGGAUGGGGAGAACUCCAGGUCCGAGGCAGCCCUCCUGGGUGAACACUUGUGAAGCAGGUUCAUUGCCAUACAGAGUCCCAGGUGAACCGUGCUAUGAUUCCCACAACCUGGGUUUUUUUUUUUUUUUUUAAGAUUUAUUUAUUUAUUUGAAAAUCAGAGUUAGAGAGAGAGAGACAGAGAGACAGAGAGGUAUCUCCCAUCUGCUGGUUCACCCCCCAAACAGAAGCCAGGAGUCAGGAGCCUUCUCCAGGUCCCCCAGGUGGGCGCAGGGGCCCUAACACUUGGGCCAUCCUCCACUGCUUUCCCAGGUGCAUCACCAGGGAGCUGGAUUGGAAGUGGAGCGACUUAGAAUCAAACCGGCAUCCAUAUGGGAUACUGGUGCUGCAGACAGCAGCUUUACCCACUGCGCCACAGCUCUGGUCCCAAGAUCACGUCUUUCGAACUUUAGAGUACAAGUUAUUUCUGCUUUACUUUUGCCUCUUAAAUACAAGUAUUGAGAUCAGCCAUAACUUGUUUUAAAGUCAGGUUCUCACACUUGCUCCCUUUUGUGGCUGCCUGUUGCCCUGGUGGGCCCUCUCAUCACGUCUCAGCAGGCUCCUGACCCCACCUGUGAGUGGGGUCUCACUGAGGUGAGAGGAGGCACAGCUGUGCACAGGGGCCAUGGUAGAGGUGGGAGCGGCCUCAGAAGGCUGCAAAGGCAAGGCCCUCCUGGAUGGAGAGGGGCCCCUCCUGCUGCACAGACCCCAACCCAACGCCUAGCAAGCCUCCUCCCGGUGCCACAGCUGGGAGUCUGGGCUUCGUAGUCAUAGAUCCAGUGUUUCCAGGGGCCGGUGUUUUGGUGCUGUGGGUUAAGCCACUGCCUGUGAUGCUGGCAAUCCAAUAGGAGUGCCAGUUGGAGUCUCCUGGCUGUGCCACUUGCCAUCCCGCUCCCAGCUGGCACACCUGGGAAAGCAGCAGCAGAUGGUCCAAGUACUUAGGGCCCUGCAGCCACAUGGAGUUCCUGGCUCCUGACUUGGCCAUUUGGGGAGUGGACCAGGGAUGGAAGAGAGAGAGAGAUUCGGGUUGCGCAUGACUUUAUUUCCCUAGUCUGGUAAGAUCUAUUCAAACAUCUGCCUCUUCUCCCACAGCCAGCACCCAGCGCCCAGCCCCAGUGUGUGAGAAAGCACACAGCACACCACAGCAAGACUGCAGAGACUGAUGUCCAGCUCCCCCUGUGUAUUCCUUGGCCAGCAAGUGUAGACUGUAGACCCCAGAUUGUUUCCAAGUGGCCAGGAGCAGGCAGUGCGUGGUUUCUCUGAGAUCUUGGUGACACCUGAUCUCAUGCUAACAACAUCAUGUAACUGAAGGAAUUCAAAAGAAAAACAACAGAACGUUCUGAUGCGUGUUAGUCAAGGCUGAAACCUUUGCUGUAGCAUUCCAGAGAAAGUAACUUUGCAGAGGAGAAAAUUCAGAAAAAUGAGGACGAGGUCUUGCCUGUGCCCACCUAUACUUUCUCCUUUCCAAGGGGCGUCUGGGAGCCUUGUGCUCUGUGUCCUCAUCUCUUAAGUGAGUGGGACCUAGCCGGCUGAUUCCGCAUCCCCCAAACCAAGACUCCUAGAGGUGGUUAGUAGGGGAUGACUGAAGGGCUGGGAGCAAUUUCCAGUAUCCCACAGGGAAUGCUGCCGCAGCUCCGCAGGUUGCACGGAGGGAUUUAAGGUGCCUCCUUUCUUUGCCUCCGGCUGUGUGGUUACUCCGAGGGCCACCUCCUGCAAAGCAGAAGCCUGCCUGCCAGAUAGAAUGGUGAUGAAUCACCCGGGCUUUGACAGCAGGCGGAGCCGGGGUCAGCCUGCACUCACCCACUUCCCAGCCAAGGGGCUUCAAGGGAGCAACUCGAUCUCUGUGACGCGUGGUGCCCCCGUCUGUGAAACAAGGACCAUACCAUCUGCCUCUCAGUGUGCCUGGGGCUGGGCCACAGGAGCCCUGGAGAGACAGUCACGACUAUCUAUCAUUCAGAGUCCUGAUUCAUGAAAAGCGAGAACUGAGUUAUGGAAUGGAAGUGGCACGCAGGUGGACAGCAGUCUCCCCAAACAGGUAGCUCACAGGUGUUCUGGGCGCUGCAAGACCGAGGGCCUUCCCACUGGGCGACCCUGGGAUUCUGCAUUUUGGAAAACCUUCAUUUCAUUCCCGUGGCCUGAUUCUGCACGUCCUCUGGUGUGGUAACCCUCAGGCCCAGGACCAUAGCGCGGGCCGCGUGCCCUGCGGUGACCUCCUUCUAAGCCACCCCUGCAUCCUCUAGAUUGAAAACUGUUGAUUGAAAAGGGCAAACAAUGCCUUGUGUCAUGGUGGCUGCAGAGCGCCAUCAAUCACGACAGCAUUCUGCACGCUCAGACACCCGCACCCCUCCCCCGCCCCACGCAUCGCGGGCCGUGACAUCAGGACCUGGGGAGAGGGGGAGAUUUGAGGACAGCUUACCUGGGUCAGUGAACUCUGCUCUGGGUGUUUGCUUGAUUCUCAGUAAUCUUACUGCUUCACUUUCUUCCUGGAGCUCUUUCCUGCCAAUGAAUUACGCGUGGUUUUUCUUUGCUUAAAAAAACAAAGCGAACCUAAAACUGCUCUACAAAUAGGCUAUGAAAAAUCACGUAUGCUGUGCCGGAAAGGGUGCCAGAAAGCGUAAAAGUUGGCUCCCAAGCUUUCCUUCUGUGAACCUGCUGGGGGCCUAAGCCUUGGACCUGACAGGGACCCCUCCCCACCCGCAAGGCACCCCCCUCCCCUCCCCAGGUUUCCUUUUCACCGCAGUGAGAUGCUGCCACAACUAACAUGGUCAUUCUUCUGAGAAUGGGGUAAACUCCUUUUCUUCUCUAUAAGGCCCUGAAAUGUAAUCACUCACCCGGGGGAGGGGCCUCCACGCAGAAACCCAUUUGCUUUUACUCUGGACUAAAAUGGAAAGAGUGGAGAUUCAAAACUUAGAGAUGGAGCUUGUUGAUGAAAAUUCACAGCAGCCGCGAACCUUGUCGGGCUGCUACGGUGAGUCACUUCUUUACGCUUCCUUGUGAUGAUGAGCUUUCACUGGGAUAAAAUGGAGUCAUUCUUAUCAGAGAGAAACAUUGUUUCCAAGGCUGGCUGGAGAAACCCUGUUUCCCUGGAAUCUAAAGAGAGAGCCCCUAAAGGGACUCCCCCCCACAGGAGGUGGGUCUCCAGAGCAACCACGCACUGGUGCAUGCUACAGUUUGGGGAAACUCUCCCCAAAAAUGAAUCCAACUUAACAAACCACAAGCAUUUAGAUGUCCACAGAUGGCAAUUCUGAAUACCUUAUUGGGGGCACAAUUUCAAAUCGUUGGGAUAUUACUGAACCCACACUCGCAAUGCUCUGGACCUAUGUCUCCUGUUUAUUACAUACGGUGAUUACCAUGUCCCAGAACUUUCCCAUCCCCAGAGGUAAAAGUAUUCUCACAUGGCUAUUGCUGCACUCUCUGUAGCUAUGACGUAGUUAUUAAGCAAGAGAUUACCUUAAAGAAAGAUUUAUCUAUUAAUUUGAAAGGCAGAUUGACAGAGAGAGAGAGGGAGGGAGGGAGGGAGAGAUCUUCCAGGGGCAGGGCCAGGCUGAAGGCAGGAGGCAGGGACUCCAUCCCGGUCUCCCACACGGGUGGCAGGGGCCCAAGUACUUGAGUCAUCUUUGUGCUCCUCUCCCAAGAGCCAUCAGCAGGAAGCUGGAUCAGACUUUUUAAGAAGUGUCCCUUAGAGGGCCAGUGCUGAGGCAUGGGGGACUAAGCCACCACCUUCGACACUGGCAUCCUGUAUCAGAGUGCCGAAUCCAGUCUCAGCUGCUCUGCUUCUGAUCCAGCCCCUGGAAGAGCUCGCUCGCUCUCUCUCUCUCUCUCUCUCUCUCUGUCACUCUGCCUUUCAGAUAAAUAUUCUGUAAAAUAAAUAAACAAAAUACAAAUAAUAAGAAGUGUCUCUUUCUAUGAGCCAAGAAUAAAGUGAAUCUGAGAAUAGGGAGGAAAAGUAAACCUUUCAUCACCGAAAGAAUUCCAACUUUGCAGUAAGAGGGAGCAAGACACUACCCUAACACGUGAACUCUGCUGGCUCAAGUGACCGGGAGGCACCUGGCCACAGGAAGCUGUUCAGCCCCACUGCCACCUGCUGUGCCCACUGCUGGCCUUUGGACAACCUGUUAGAAGGUAAAGAAAGGUCCUUUUAUGUUUAAAUUUCACUGCCUCAGAAACCCUAUCUUUCCCAUUCUCUCUUUUCUUGGCAACUCUAGAAGUCCUUUGUAAACAUCCUCCCGGAAAAGUCUCUGUAGAUGUGUCUGAUAAACUUCCAGUCGGGGAGAGUUGGAAGUCCUGGCUGAGAACCGACUGGGUGGAGCCUCGAAGAGAUCAUUCCCUUCUGAGAAGCAGCUCAAAGCAGCAAGCUCCACCAGGGUCCCGGCGCAGCAGAAGGGGCAUAGUCCUGGUCGGCUUGCCCAGACUUUAUUUUAACAGAACACAAAGUUUGUGGCAGUCUUGCUGCUAAUCAGGAUGGAAGAGCUCAGACUCUUGGUCCUAAAUACACAAAAUUGGGAAAGAAAAUGCAAUGAAACAUUAAAAAAGACAUUUCAGGGCUAGCUAACACGCAAACCACUCUAAAAAACAAAAGAGCUCAUCUGGUCGAAAAUGCACUUUUACAUUAUAUAUAUGAAUUGUUGAUUGGGCCAGCGUUGUGGUGAAGUGGGUUAAGCCACAGCCUGUGAUGCCGGCAUCCCACAUGGGUACUGGUUCAAGUCCCAGCUGCUUCACUUCCGAUCCAGCUCCCUACUAAUGGCCUGGGAAAGCAUCAGAAGAUGGCCCAAGUCCUUGGGCCCCUGUACCCUUGUGAGAGGCCCAGAAGAAGCUCCUGGCUUCUGGCUGCCUUUGUGGCCAUCUGCGGAGUGAACCAGCAGUGGAAGAUCUUUCUCUCUGUCUGUCUUUUAAAAGCAAACAAACAACAACAACAACAAAAAACUUGGCAAACUCAAGUUUCAUGUAUCGUAUCUGUCCAUCUCUCCUCUUCCUAACCCUCUUCCAUCACAGGUCAAAAGGGGCUUCCUGCACUGGAGGGAGAGGGGAAGCGAGAGCCUGACAGCCUUCCCAUUCCAAGGCCCCGUGGACCAAUCCUUCCAUCCCAUCCCAGAGGGCCCCUUGUAGUUGAGAAACAAUUGGCAGAGAUCGCAAGAAACACAACUUGGGUAUUAAUCCCUCCUUCCACCCAGCCCUGUAGGGAUUGCAACAGACUUAUGGUUUGUAAGGUCAGAUGCUGAGUGACUGUGGAGAACGCUGAACUAGAGAAUAUUAAAGCAAAACGAAUACACCAAAUCCCUCUUCUUCUUUAAGUGAAAUCUCUUUGGUGAGUCCAUGAAUUUGAGCAUUUAGAUGACAGACUACACCCAUUUUUUUAAAAAAGAUUUAUUUAUUAUUGAAAGUCAGAGUUACACAGAGAGGAGAGGCAGAGAGAGAGAGAGAGAGAGAGAGAGAGAGAGAGGUCUUCCAUCCGCUGGUUCACUCCCCAGAUGGCCGCAAUGGCCAGAGCUGUGCUGAUCCGAAGCCAGGAGUCAGGAGCUUCUCCUCAGUCUCCCACAUGGGUGCAGGGCACAAAGGACUUGGGCCAUCUUCUACUGCUUUCCCAGGCCACAGCAGAGAGCUGGAUGGAAGUGGAGCAACUGGAACUUGAACCGGCGCCCACAUGGGAUGCCGGCACUGCAGGCGGUGGCUUUACCCGCUACGCCACAGCGCCGGCCCCAAGACUACACCUAUUUUUUAAAACUAAGCUUAGGGUGGGUGCUUGGUGUAGCAGUUAAGGGACUGUUUAGGGACCAGUGCUGUGAUGCAACAAGUUAAGCUGCUGCCUGCAAUGCUGGCAUCUCAUAUGGGCACUGGUUCAAGUUCUGGCUGCUCCACUUCUGACCCAGCUCCCUGCUAAUGGCCUGGGAAAGCAGCAUGGAGAUGGUCCAAGACUUGGGUCCCUGCACCCAUGUGAGAGAUCCGGAUAAAGCUCCUGGUUCCUGACUUCAGCCUGACCCGGCCCUGGCUGUUGUGGCCAUUUAGGGAGUGAACCAGCUCGCUCGCGCACUCUCCCCCUCUCUCUCCCUCUAACUCUGCCUUUCAAAUAAUACAUAAAUAAAUGUAAAAAAAAAAGAAAAAAAAAAAAGACAUGGCUUGACAUCCCGUAUCAGAGUGCCCAGCGUUCAAGGCCCCGCUCUACUCCUCAACUCCUCAUUCCGGUUUCCUGCUUGUGUGCACCCUUGCAGGUGACAGUGACGACUCAAAUACUGGGGUCCCUGCCACCAAUAUGGGAGUCAUGAGCUGAGUCCGGGGCUCCUGGCAUGGCCUGGCUCAGUCCCAGCUAUUUCAGGCAGUUGGGGAAUGAACCAGGGAGCAGAUUGCUCUCUGCCUAUCUCUUUCUAUCUCCCUCUCCCUUGCCUUUCUCUGUCUUUCAAAUACAUACAAAAUAAAUUAAUUAAAAUUAAAAUUAAGCUUUGUCAGGGGUAUAAGUGACAUAAAACAGCUGCACAUGAAGCAUACAACUAAGUUUGGACACAUAUGUGAUCCCCGAGAAGCCGUGUGGCAGUGAGGAUGGUGGAUUACCCUCCAAAAUCUCCUUGUGUCCCCUGCUGGUCUUUCUUGCCUCUCCGGCAUCCUGUCUGCCUCUACCCAUCCCCUAGUCCCCAGGCAGCGACAGAUUUGCUUUACACGGCCGGAGACUCGCUUGCAUGUCGUAGAGCUUCGUAUCAGCAGCAUGGCAGAGGCUGUCCUCUUUCUAGCGUGACUUCUUGCACUCAGCGUAACAGCUCUGAGACUCACUCAUGUUUUCUGUGGACAACCGUGUGCCUGCGUGAAGACGUUCUGGCAAGUGGUGGAACGCCACACGCCGCAGCGGUCCCCGAGAGCCUGCCUCCUGCUGACAUCCAAGACUGGAUCAUGACUGGUGUCGGUAUCUUCUGUGGUGCGCUUUCCAGAAUGCAUCCCGGUCCGUUUUGUUGCUGAACUGUGGGGGAGUAACUUGUAGGAUCCAGCCCCUUCACGUACCCAUUCACUUACUCACAGACAUGUGCAUUGCUUCCCGUUCUUUGGCUACUACAAAUAACGAUGCCUUGACUGUUUCAUGUGAGAGUGUCUGCGUGCACACGUGCUUCCAUUUCUCGGUGUAAAUGCCUGCAUGUGGAGCGGCUGCAUCAUAUGGGAGGCAUAUGUUGCUUUCCCAGAUAGUCUGCACCAUUUUACAAUCCCCUCAAGUGCUGUGUGAGGGUUCUGGUUACUUCAGAUCCUUGUCAACGUUUGGCACUGUUUGGUCUGUUUAGUUUUAGACCUUCUGGGAGGUGUAUCGCGAGUUUGUACCUCACUGUGAUUUUAUUUGCCUUUCCCUAAUGACCAGUGAUGUCCAUCUUUAUGUGUUCUUGGUUGCUAGCCACAGUCUUAUAGGAUGAAGGCUGUUUACGUCUCUGGCCCAUUUUGUAAACUUUUUUUUUUUUUGGUAGUACGGAGUUUUGCAGGUUCUUAAUAUAAUCUGGAAACAAUUCCCUUAUCAGAUUUGUGACUUGCAAAUAUCUUCCCCAAUUUCUUUUUAAUUUUUAUCCAAAGGUGGUUGUUCUCAAAUUACUUUUUUCUGAAAAGAAGUUCUUAAUUUUGAUGAAAUCCUUGUGCUGCUGGUGGUGUGACUGAGAAAUCAUGGCUAACCCCAGGUCACAAAGGUUUUCUUUUACAUCUCUUCUGGAAGUUUUAGAGUUUUGGGUUUUACAUUUAGGUUUACGACCUAUUGUGGGUUAUUUCUUGAAUAUGGUGUGAAGUAGAGCUAAAAGUUCUCUUUUUUUUUCCAUUUGUUGUCAGAUUAUUUCAUUGCAAUUUGCUGAAUAGUUUAUCCUUUCUUCACCAUCAUUCUCUGCAUCUUUGUUGAGGGUGUGGAAUCUAUUUCUGGAUUCUUCAUAUUGUCCCAUUGAUCUACUGUUGUUUAUUGUUGUAACAUUGGUGUUAUGACACCAAUAUUGCACUGUCUUACCCAGUGAACUUUAAAAUGAAUCUUUAGAGUGUGUAACUUCUCCAACUUUGUUCUUUUUCAAAUAUGUUGUGGCUUUUCUAUUUCCUUUGCAUUUUCAGACUGGACAGAACGAGCCAAGUGUGCGACAUUCAGAACCAAAUCUAGUUCUAUGGAGCUGUGCUUUAAAUCACAGUAGCUCUCAGUUUCUUGGCAUAGAGGAGCCAUUGAUAGCUACCAGCACCCAGAAUCUUUAUUUAAGAGCACAGUAUAUAGAUAUCUUGAAAAAUGAGUGUUUAAGUAAACAUGAAAGAAAGGAAGAGAGGGAGAAAGACAAGAUUCAAGGAUGAGGUGAAAUUUCAUGGUAGAAUUUUGAUAAGCAGGAAAUAGAAUAGGAGUUAGCUCUCAGAGAGAAAAUACAAAGUAUAUUUAGCAAGAAUUCUGAUCAGGUUGUAAGAAGCAGGACAUGUGGUUGGUGCUGUGGCCGGGGAGGCCUGGAUUCUACAGCAGAGUCCUGCCUCAGGUCCCAGUUACUUGUGGCUCCUAUCCAGCUUCCUGGUUUAUGUUACUGGGAGGUAGCAGAUGCUGGCCCAUUACUUGGGUUGUUGCCACCUACACGGGAGACCUGGAUGGAGUUUCCUGCUCCUGGCUUUGGCCUGGCCCACAUCUGGCUGUUGUGGAUAUCUGGGGAGGGAACCAUCAGAUGAAAGAUGCCUCUUGGGGCCGGCGCUGUGGCGUAGCGGGUAAAGCCUCCACCUGCAGUGCCGGCAUCCCAUGUGGGCACCGGUGAGAGUCUCAACUGCUCCACUUCUGAUCCAGCUCUCUGCUAUGGCCUGGGAAAGCAGUAGAAGAUGGCCCAAGUCCUUGGGCCCCUGUAUUCGCAUGGGAGACUGGGAGGAAGCACCUGGCUCCUGGCUUUGGAAUGGCGCAGCUCCUGCUGUUGCAGCCAUCUGGGGAGUGAACCUGCAAAUGGAAGAUCUCUCUGUCUCUCUUCUUCUAUCUUUCUGUAUUUCUGUCUUUCAAAUAAAUAAAGAGAUCAAUCUUUUUUAAAAAAGAUAUUUCUUUUUCUUUUUCUGUCUCAUCCUCUCUCUAUGUUACUCUGCCUUUCAAAUAAAUAAAUAUUUAUAUAAAGAAAAUGGGCUUCAUUCAAAUUUAUAUCAUUAGUUUUUGUUUUUUUUUUUUAAAGAAACGGCACAUGGAGAAUAUAACAGAGGGUCUUGGAAUUGUGUUUGAAGAGCUUGUGCCUGAUUUGCUAGGAAGUGAAAAGACUUGUUGAGAGGGAGAGGACUGUGAUGGGGUUGAAGGAAUUGCACUAACUUAGCCAGUUCUGGCUCACAUCCUUGACCAGCUCAGUGGCGUCUCACCUGCUGGCUGCUGGGCAGGAGGCGGGAGGCGGGAGGCAGAGGAAGGGAGGGCUGGCACUGCGAGGGAGGCUGACUGGCAGGGGCUCUAGUUUCAGCGGAAUGUUUUCACGGGCAUCGCCUUUCCCUUCCCGGAGGUGUGGAUGAGCAGAGGUCCCUUGGACGUGUUUUUCUUGGGCAGUUUUAUUGAGUUUCAACUCAGAACACAGGAUAUGGGUAUGGAUCUUCAAGGUUUAGGUUGAAUUGCAAUCCACCCUCAAAACUUCCUUGAGGUUGGUUAUUCAACACUUCUCUCCAUUCAAAUGCCCAUGGAACAGGGAUCUGUAGAAUGCAAAAGGCUGAAGAGCCUUUUAUAUAUCUAAGCCAUCCUCUUCCUCCCAGUGUUCUAGGAAGACAUUCGGGGGGAGAGAAGAACUCACUUCCAGCAACGCCACUCAGACCGCAACACUUUCUCCCACAGAGCUCUUCAGUCAGGAGACAGAGGGGUCUGUCCUGACUCGAGCAUUGCCUGAUGCGUGCAUGUACUGGAACAACUCACGACUGAUGUGUGCAGGUACUGGAACAACUCACGACUGAUGCGUGCAUGUACUGGAACAACUCACGACACCCAUCAUUUCUGUGUGUCGAUUCAAAAACCAAAACCAAAACUAGCAAUCAUCAAAAGAAGAAACAAAUCCUUCAGUGGCAACCUGAGACCUUCAGCUGGUGUGAGUGUCUGUCCUGAGUUGCCCGGAAGAGCUCUGCUUCCUGCCUGUCCCCUGCGCGUGGUUAUUGAUAGCUAUUGAUAAGGAUCCCUUUUACCCCGCCCCUCGCGAAGGGAACCAGCUCCGACGACAGAUUCUGUGCUCACCCCAAGUAGCCCUUUCCAGGGUGGAGCUGGGCACUGGGGGUGGGCUGGAGGGUCUCCGAGUCACUGAGGACUGUGUGAGCUCAGUGAACACAGAGAAAGGUCAGCUCUCCCAGGAAGAAUGUUGACCUUGAGGAUAAGAAUUGCAUGAAAACAGGCACAUCCGACCUGCAGGAUCCAGCCCUCCUUACCCACCCCACCCUCAUCUCCUGACGCUCCACCUUGCAGUCCGGCCAUGAGGAACAAUCUAUGGUUCCCCGGCUCUACCACGUGGCUUCCGGGCUCUGUGCUUUUGAGCACAUUUUCCCUCUGCUGCAAGAUGCUUGCCUGGCACUUCAAUGCCUGCAGCUAUUUGCUCUGGAAAACACCUCUGCGUCCUGCACAGGGCACAGCUGAAGGCUUCCUUCUCUGAGCUGCCCUGGGCCCCCCAUUCUGUCCCGUCCUGGAACCACAUGACAUGUUUGCAUGCAGGUCGCCUUCAUGGAUGCCGAGCAGCCGGGCAGGAGGCACCGUCCCUGAACACCAUGACUGGCACAAGGCAGGGUACAGGCAAGGACGCUCACGUACAUUCAGUCAAUAAAUCCGUGCUGCACACUGACUGUUCCCGGCAUGACACGGAGGGGCCACGGCAGCAUGUGUGAGAUCCCCAGGCCCGGAGUUGCCCCCCAGCCCAUGACUGAAUGCAGCAGGAGGGGUGGACGGAGCUGUGCAUCUCGCACAUGCGUACCUGUGCCUAUUCCAGAAACUUCCCAGAAUCUUGUGUUCUGCUUGGGAAGCCAAAAUGCUUCAAAACAAGGCCGUCUUUUUCCAUGCAGCUUCGUUGUGAAUUAAACAGCCUAAGUCCCUGAUCUAUUUAAAAACAGGGAAAGGGAAGUCUAGGGUGGCCAAAAUAACUUUCUCAAGGUCGCCGAGCAGAGUGGUUGGUCUCCUGUGAGACAAGCCCCGGUGAGGGAGCUGCCGAGUGCACGGCCCCACCUAGCUGUGUCCCUCUGGGCCCCAGCCCCUACCCGCCCUCCCGGGGCUUCUGGUGGCCCAGGGCUCUUGAAAGGCAGGGCUGUGUUUGUGCCUGGAGCUAGGCAGGAGUUCUUCCAAGAAGCUGGGCCAGGGCUGCAGAGGCUGAGCAGGAGCCCGGGUGCUGCUGGCCGUGAGGAGGGCUCUGUCCUCAGGGGUUUAUUUGUGAAAUUCAGAGAGUGGGAGGGAGGCUGCACAGCUAGCCAGGCCAACUAAAUACCAGGUCCCCAGAAGCUUGGCAAAUGAAAACACGAACCACUGAAGUGAGGGCAGGAAAGGGGAAGGGAGAGAGAGAGAGAGAGAGAGAAAGGGAAGAGAAUAUAGAUGAUGA